AGCAGCCGCGGUAAUUCCAGCUCCAAUAGCGUAUAUUAAAGUUGUUGCAGUUAAAAAGCUCGUAGUUGAAUUUCGGGAUCAAUUAAUCGGUCGUGCCUCUGGUACGCACUGGUUUUAUUGGUUUCUCCCUUCUGACGAACCAGGAUGUCAUUAAUUUGGUGUCCUGGAGAAUCAGGACUGUUACUUUGAAAAAUUAGAGUGUUUAAAGCAGGCUAACGCUUGAAUACAUUAGCAUGGAAUAAUGAAAUAGGACGUUUGAUCCUAUUUUG
rnacentral:misc_RNA from 1 species